GUUUAAUUAGUAUAUAUAAGUACAUUUAAUUUCCAAUUAAAAAGAUUUCUUUAAAAAAUUAAACA
rnacentral:tRNA from 1 species